rnacentral:piRNA from 1 species
UAGCAUCCUUUCUAAAGUGUUCUGGU